CUACGGGAGGCAGCAGUGGGGAAUCUUGCACAAUGGAGGAAACUCUGAUGCAGCGAUGCCGCGUGAGUGAAGAAGGCCCUUGGGUUGUAAAGCUCUUUCGUCGGGGAAGAAAAUGACUGUACCCGAAUAAGAAGGUCCGGCUAACUUCGUGCCAGCAGCCGCGGUAAUACGAAGGGACCUAGCGUAGUUCGGAAUUACUGGGCUUAAAGAGUUCGUAGGUGGUUGAAAAAGUUGGUGGUGAAAUCCCAGAGCUUAACUCUGGAACUGCCAUCAAAACUUUUCAGCUAGAGUAUGAUAGAGGAAAGCAGAAUUUCUAGUGUAGAGGUGAAAUUCGUAGAUAUUAGAAAGAAUACCAAUUGCGAAGGCAGCUUUCUGGAUCAUUACUGACACUGAGGAACGAAAGCAUGGGUAGCGAAGAGGAUUAGAUACCCUCGUAGUCCAUGCCGUAAACGAUGUGUGUUAGACGUUGGAAAUUUAUUUUCAGUGUCGCAGCGAAAGCGAUAAACACACCGCCUGGGGAGUACGACCGCAAGGUUAAAACUCAAAGGAAUUGACGGA
rnacentral:rRNA from 1 species